UGAAUACGAGACGCUAAGGCGUCGAAGUAGUGUAUGUCAUACUUCCAAGAAAAGCUUGCACUGUCAUAGAUAAAAAACGCCUGUACCAUAACCGACACAGGUGGGUAGGUAGAGUAUACUAAGGGGCGCGAGAUAACUCUCUCUAAGGAACUCGGCAAAAUAACUCCGUAACUUCGGGAGAAGGAGUGCCUUAUUAUUAAGGCUGCAAUAACAAGAUCCAAGCAACUGUUUAUCAAAAACACAGGUCUCCGCUAAGUCGUAAGACGAUGUAUGGGGGCUGACGCCUGCCCAGUGCCAGAAGGUUAAAGAAGUUGGUUAGCAUUUGCGAAGCUGAUAACUGAAGCCCUGGUGAACGGCGGCCGUAACAAUAACGGUCCUAAGGUAGCGAAAUUCCUUGUCGGGUAAGUUCCGACCCGCACGAAAGGCGUAAUGAUUUGGAUACUGUCUCGGAGAGGGGCUCGGUGAAAUAGACUUGUCUGUGAAGAUGCGGACUACCUGCACCAGGACAGAAAGACCCUAUGAAGCUUUACUGUAACUUAAAAUUGAAAUUGGACUUUAUUCGCGCAGCAUAGGUGGGAGGCGUUGAUUAUAAUCUUGUGGGAUUAUUGGAGCCAUCAGUGAGAUACCACUCUUGUAAUGUUAGAUUUCUAACUUUGAAUCAUUAUCUGGUCAAAGAACAGUUUCAGGCGGGCAGUUUGACUGGGGCGGUCGCCUCCUAAACGGUAACGGAGGCGUACAAAGGUUUCCUCUGAACGGUUAGAAAUCGUAUCUAGAGUGUAAAGGCAUAAGGAAGCUUGACUGUGAGACCUACAAGUCGAGCAGGGACGAAAGUCGGUCUUAGUGAUCUGACGGUACUGAGUGGAAAGGCCGUCACUCAACGGAUAAAAGUUACUCUAAGGAUAACAGGCUGAUCUCCCCCAAGAGUUCACAUCGACGGGGGGGUUUGGCACCUGGAUGUCGGCUCAUCGCAUCCUGGGGCGGUAGUACGUCCCAAGGGUUGGGCUGUUCGCCCAUGAAAGCGGUACGCGAGCUGGGUUCAGAACGUCGUGAGACAGUUCGGUCCAUAUCCGGUGUAGGCGUUAGAAUAUUGAGAGGAGCCUUCUUUAGUACGAGAGGACCGAGAAGGACAUACCUCUGGUGUACCAGUUAUCGUGCCAACGGUAAACGCUGGGUAGCUAUGUAUGGAGUGGAUAACCGCUGAAAGCAUCUAAGUGGGAAGCCCACCUCAAGAUAAGUAUUCUC
rnacentral:rRNA from 1 species